AUUGAACGCUGGCGGCAUGCUUUACACAUGUAAGUCGAACGGCAGCACGGACUUCGGUCUGGUGGCGAGUGGCGAACGGGUGGGUAAUACAUCGGAACGUACCCAGUAAUGGGGGAUAACUAUCCGAAAGGAUAGCUAAUACCGCAUACGCCCUACGGGGGAAAGAGGGGGAUCGCAAGACCUCUUGUUAUUGGAGCGGCCGAUGGCUGAUUAGCUAGUUGGUGGGGUAAAGGCCUACCAAGGCAACGAUCAGUAGCGGGUCUUAGAGGACGAUCCGCCACACUGGAACUGAGGCACGGUCCAGACUCCUACGGGAGGCGGCAGUGGGGAAUCUUGGACAAUGGGCGCAAGCCUGAUCCAGCAAUGCCGCGUGCGUGAAGAAGGCCUUCGGGUUGUAAAGCGCUUUUGUCAGGGAGCAAAUCCUUGUGGCUAAUACCCACCGGGGAUGAGAGUACCUGAAGAAUAAGGACCGGCUAACUACGUGCCAGCCGCCGCAGUAAAAC
rnacentral:rRNA from 1 species